UCUCCCACCCUACAUGCUUUGACACAUGGCCCUCUGUGUUCAUGGUUGAUUGUGCAACCAUCCCGGAGUACACAGCAUCCCUUGACUCAGCGGCUGCACAACGGCCUCUGUGAGGUGGAGGGGCCCCGGCUGAGGCGCCUCCUGUGUUUUCUCUGAGUUGCUUGUCGGCCAGGCAGUUCUGUGUCUCUGGGUGCAGCCACAUUUUGGGAAUUGGCUAAAACCAGAAUGAUCUAGAAAGACCUUCAGGAAGACUGCUGGAGCCAACUCAGUGUGAUUUUGUAUGUCUCAUCUUCCAUGGCAGGACUUGGUAAACUCUGGCCUCUGCGGCAAAAAAUCUAGCUGUUGAUGGUAUUUAGAAAUGAUGCCUUCUUGGGGUACAGCUAUGUUUAUUUUUUUCUGUCACUUCUUUCCUGCCACAGUGGCAGAGUGAAGUAAGCUGCUGUAAAGGAGACCUCCACAACUCACAAGACAGGCAUAUUUACUAUCUGAUUAUUCAUAGAACAAAUUUACUGACUUUUGCUGCAUUCAGCUGGCCUGGGAAUGUUACCAUGACUGUGACAAAGGAACAAGGGAGGAAAUGGAAUCCCAUGAACAGCCUUCCAAGAAAACAUCAGUGCAUCAUGUCAACUGACAUGCCAAUGGACAAAGAAAGUCACACGUCACACAGAUGACCUCAAAAUCAAAGUGUUUAGACUCAGAUUCCCGUGAGAACAACCUCAGCAUCACAAGGCACAGGAGUCAAGUUCAGGCAGCUGCAGCUGGGUCUAAGGCAGCUUCCAUCUCACCAGCAAAUUCCAGGAGAAGCCUGCCCACGUGCAGGGUGACUACUUCCAUUUGCCCUUGAUUACUGCUGCACGAUUCACCGUCGUUCUUAUGAAGAGCUCUGAGGAGGCUGAUUGACGGGUCAGGAUGCAUGGAGGGUUGCCUUUAAAACGUGCGUGCAGUCCAGAGGCUGGUUCGAGAAGCACACUUUGAGUGGCACUGACCUAGGCUCAUUCAGCAUCUUUGAAGGAAAACCAGUGACCAUGAGGAACCAGACAGGGCUCAAGACAGCUUAGAAGACACAGAUGGUCAUGCACUGUGAGGGUCUGUGCUCUGCAGCUCCUGCUCUGGGCCAGGUGUGGUCCUCCUGGUCUGGGCCAGGUGUGGUCCUCCUGGUCUGGGCCAGGUGUGGUCCUCC